rnacentral:rRNA from 1 species
GGCCUAUCAGCUUGUUGGUGAGGUAGUGGCUCACCAAGGCGACGACGGGUAGCCGGCCUGAGAGGGCGACCGGCCACACUGGGACUGAGAUACGGCCCAGACUCCUACGGGAGGCAGCAGUGGGGAAUAUUGCACAAUGGGCGAAAGCCUGAUGCAGCGACGCCGCGUGAGGGAUGACGGCCUUCGGGUUGUAAACCUCUUUCAGCAGGGAAGAAGCGAAAGUGACGGUACCUGCAGAAGAAGCGCCGGCUAACUACGUGCCAGCAGCCGCGGUAAUACGUAGGGCGCAAGCGUUGUCCGGAAUUAUUGGGCGUAAAGAGCUCGUAGGCGGCUUGUCACGUCGGUUGUGAAAGCCCGGGGCUUAACCCCGGGUCUGCAGUCGAUACGGGCAGGCUAGAGUUCGGUAGGGGAGAUCGGAAUUCCUGGUGUAGCGGUGAAAUGCGCAGAUAUCAGGAGGAACACCGGUGGCGAAGGCGGAUCUCUGGGCCGAUACUGACGCUGAGGAGCGAAAGCGUGGGGAGCGAACAGGAUUAGAUACCCUGGUAGUCCACGCCGUAAACGGUGGGCACUAGGUGUGGGCAACAUUCCACGUUGUCCGUGCCGCAGCUAACGCAUUAAGUGCCCCGCCUGGGGAGUACGG